GACGAACGCUGGCGGCGUGCUUAACACAUGCAAGUCGAACGGAAAGGCCCUGCUUGCAGGGUACUCGAGUGGCGAACGGGUGAGUAACACGUGGGUGAUCUGCCCUGCACUUCGGGAUAAGCCUGGGAAACUGGGUCUAAUACCGGAUAGGAGCCAUUUUUAGUGUGAUGGUUGGAAAGUUUUUUCGGUGUAGGAUGAGCUCGCGGCCUAUCAGCUUGUUGGUGGGGUAAUGGCCUACCAAGGCGGCGACGGGUAGCCGGCCUGAGAGGGUGGACGGCCACAUCGGGGCUCAGACACGGCACAGACUCCGACGAGAGGUAGCAGUGGGGAAUAUUGCACAAUGGGCGCAAGCCUGAUGCAGCGACGCCGGGUGGGGGAUGACGGCCUGCGGGUUGUACACUACUUUCGCUAGGCACGACGCUUUUUGUGACGGUACCUAGAUAAGAAGCAACGGCUAACUACGUG
rnacentral:rRNA from 1 species